rnacentral:piRNA from 1 species
UGCUACCCAGUCUUUAAGUAUGCCA